rnacentral:rRNA from 1 species
GACGAACGCUGGCGGCGUGCUUAACACAUGCAAGUCGAGCGGUAAGGCCCUUUCGGGGGUACACGAGCGGCGAACGGGUGAGUAACACGUGGGUGACCUGCCCUCAGCUCUGGGAUAAGCCUGGGAAACUGGGUCUAAUACUGGAUAUGACUCCACGGUGCAUGUCGGUGGGGUAGGAAAGCCUUGUGCGGCUGAGGAGUCGGGCCCGCGGCCUAUCAG